rnacentral:rRNA from 1 species
AACGAACGCUGGCGGCAUGCCUUACACAUGCAAGUCGAACGGUAACAGGUCUUCGGAUGCUGACGAGUGGCGAACGGGUGAGUAAUACAUCGGAACGUGCCUAGUAGUGGGGGAUAACUACUCGAAAGAGUGGCUAAUACCGCAUGAGAUCUACGGAUGAAAGCAGGGGAUCGCAAGACCUUGCGCUACUAGAGCGGCCGAUGGCAGAUGAGGGAGUUGGUGGGAUAAAAGCUUACCAAGCCGACGAUCUGUAGCUGGUCUGAGAGGACGAUCAGCCACACUGGGACUGAGACACGGUCCAGACUCCUAUGGGAGGCAGCAGUGGGGAAUUUUGGACAAUGGGCGCAAGCCUGAUCCAGCAAUGCCGCGUGCAGGAUGAAGGCCUUCGGGUUGUAAACUGCUUUUGUACGGAACGAAACGGUGAGCUUUAAUACAGUUUGCUAAUGACGGUACCGUAAGAAUAAGCACCGGCUAACUACGUGCCAGCCGCCGCCGUAAGAC